rnacentral:rRNA from 1 species
AACGAACGCUGGCGGCAGGCUUAACACAUGCAAGUCGAGCGCCCCGCAGGGGGAGCGGCAGACGGGUGAGUAACGCGUGGGAACGUACCUUUUGCUACGGCAUAGCGCCGGGAAACUGGAAUUAAUACCGUAUGUGCCCUACGGGGGAAAGAUUUAUCGGCAAAGGAUCGGCGCGCGUUGGAUUAGCUAGUUGGUGGGGUAAUGGCCUACCAAGGCGACGAUCCAUAGCUGGUCUGAGAGGAUGAUCAGCCACAUUGGGACUGAGACACGGCCCAAACUCCUACGAGAGGCAGCAGUGGGGAAUAUUGGACAAUGGGCGCAAGCCUGAUCCAGCCAUGCCGCGUGAGUGAUGAAGGCCUUAGGGUUGUAAAGCUCUUUCACCGGAGAAGAUAAUGACGGUAUCCGGGGAAGAAGCCCCGGCUAACUUCUUGCCAGCAGCCGCAGUAAUAC